GUAGGUGAACCUGCGGAAGGAUCAUUCAUAAUAAGUGUUUAUGGCACUUCUUAAAUCCAUAUCCACCUUGUGUGCAAUGUCAGCCGUUUUCUUUAUGAAAGCGGCCAAACAUCAACUUAUUUUUUAACUGUCUGUCUGAUAACAUAUUAUGAAUAUACUUAAUUCAAAAUAUAACUUUCAACAACGGAUCUCUUGGCUCUCGCAUCGAUGAAGAACGCAGCAUCUGACUGACUCAGGUCUGUAUUAUCUC
rnacentral:misc_RNA from 1 species